GACGAACGCUGGCGGCGUGCUUAACACAUGCAAGUCGAACGGAAAGGCCCUGCUUUUGUGGGGUGCUCGAGUGGCGAACGGGUGAGUAACACGUGAGUAACCUGCCCUUGACUUUGGGAUAACUUCAGGAAACUGGGGCUAAUACCGGAUAGGAGCUCCUGCUGCAUGGUGGGGGUUGGAAAGUUUCGGCGGUUGGGGAUGGACUCGCGGCUUAUCAGCUUGUUGGUGGGGUAGUGGCUUACCAAGGCUUUGACGGGUAGCCGGCCUGAGAGGGUGACCGGAAGGGGGGGGGGUGGAGGACGGCCGGGCGGCGGGGAGGGGGGGGGGGGGGAGGGUAGAGCACGGGGGGGGGGGGGGGGGGGCAGGAAGGCCGAGUGGGGGAGGAGGGCCGGGGGGGUGUCGUGCGGUGUAGCGGGGGACGAGGGGUGAGUGAGGGUAGGGGGCAAAGAGGAAGCGGCUAACGACGUGACAGCGGCAGCGGUAAAACGAGGAAGAGCAGACGGGUGCAC
rnacentral:rRNA from 1 species